rnacentral:snRNA from 1 species
AUACUUACCUGGCAGGGGAGAUACCAUGAUCACGAAGGUGGUUUUCUCAGGGCGAGGGUUAUCCUUUGCACUCCGGAUGUGCUGACCCCUGUGAUUUCCCCAAAUGUGGGAAACUCGACUGCAUAAAA